rfam:Mortierella elongata AG-77 unplaced genomic scaffold K457scaffold_37, whole genome shotgun sequence.
AAUGUUGUUGCAAUAGUGGAACUUGGUACGAGAGGAACCGUUCAUUCGGACAUUUGGUAUUUGGGCCUGCCUGAGCAGGCAAUGGCCCGAAGCUAUCAUCCGUUGAGUUAUGGCUGAACGCCUCUAAGUCAGAACCCGUGCUAGAACGCGACGAUUGCCGCCUUUUCCGAUUUUUAGUUGAAUACGAAUAGAUCCUCGGAUCCUGAAUCAUCUUACGUGGGGUGAUGUUGCUCGGCGGAAAGACCCGGUGACAUUCCUGCUAAUGUUAAUUUCAAAUAUUGGAAGAGAUAAAUCCAUUGCAGACGACUAAUCAACGGUGUAUUGUAAGCAGUAGUGACGCUCUGUAGCUACGAUCUGCUGAGAUUAAGCACUAUGCUGUAAAGAUUU